UUUGCCUUAGGUGUGAAGAGUGUUUUAGUCACUCCAGUGACUGUAAUGUUGGAUGGACUGAACCUGAGGGGCUGUUUAGGGAUAUGGGGCUGUGGGAGGGCUGACAAUCCUGCCGGCAUGGCCUACACGCUAGGCACGGGGCCCGACUCUGGGCCAACCGUGAGUCCCCAGCACUGCAUCACCAGGGUGGAGCUGUCUGUGUGCUGCGGCAACCUGCUGGACAGAGAUGUGACCUCCAAGUCAGACCCCUUCUGUGUGCUAUUCAAUGAGGUGGACAGCAGCUGGGUUGAGAUUGGCCGAACAGAGACUGCAGUGAAUAACCUGAAUCCAGUGUUUGGGGUGAAGUUUAAGGUGGACUACCAUUUUGAGGAGGUCCAGAAGCUCAAGUUUGCCCUGUUUGAUGAGGACAAGUGCAGCAGCCAGCUGUAUGAGCAUGACUUCCUGGGAGAGUACAUCUGUACACUGGGGGUGAUUGUGUCCAAUAAGAAACUUCACCGACCACUAACCUUGGCCAAUAGCAAGCCAGCUGGGAAGGGAACCAUCACAAUAACUGCGCUGGAACUGUCAGACAAUAGAAUAAUCACAUUGACAUUGUGUGGGAGAAAACUUGACAAGAAGGAUUUCUUUGGUAAAUCAGACCCCUACCUAGAGUUCCAUAAGCAAGGAGAUGAUGGGAAAUGGAUGUUAGUCCACAGGACAGAGGUGAUAAAGAACACUCUGGACCCGGUGUGGAAGCCCUUCACAGUACCACUCAUCUCCCUCUGUAACGGGGACGUGGACAGGAGCAUCAAGGUACUGUGCUAUGAUUACGACAACGAUGGAGGCCAUGACUUCAUUGGAGAGUUUCAGACCACUGUCAACAAGAUGAGUGAAGCCCAAAAUUCACUGGAGAUCGAAUUUGAAUGCAUUAAUCCCAAGAAACAGAAGAAGAAAAAGAGCUACAGAAACUCUGGAAUCAUCAUUCUGAAGUCAUGCAAGGUUGAAAGGGACUAUACCUUCCUGGACUAUAUUUUAGGUGGAUGCCAAAUCAUGUUCACUGUUGGCAUUGAUUUCACAGCGUCUAAUGGGAACCCUCGGGAGGCCUCCUCUCUUCACUUCAUCAACCCUCUGGGCAGCAAUGAGUACUUGUCCGCCAUCCUGGCUGUGGGCCAGAUCAUCCAGGACUAUGACACUGACAAAAUGUUUCCUGCUCUGGGAUUUGGGGCUCAACUCCCUCCAGACUGGAAAGUGUCUCAUGAAUUUGCCAUCAACUUUGACCCCACCAAUCCCUUCUGCCAAGGCGUGGAGGGGAUUGCCCAGGCCUACUCUGUCUGCCUGCCUCACAUCCGUUUCUACGGCCCCACCAACUUCUCCCCCAUCAUCACCCAUGUGGCCCGCUUUGCCACCCAGGCCCUUCAACAGGAGACUGCUGCGGGCCAGAUGUGGUAGCACAUGCUGAUCAUGUGAUGAUGGUUUGCCAACAGUAACCCAGAGCUCCUGAAGUCACAGAACCUUUAAACAUUCACAAGGUUGAAGAGGUAUAUAGGGUACUAGGGGGUAACUGCCCCCAGCCCCUAUAAUUCACAUUAAGACCACAAGAUGUCACCAAAUAUUUUUUUCAACACUUUCCUUGGCUGCCACUGCUCUUGCUCAACAACCAAAAAUCUUCUGUGUCAUCACAACUUUUGGAGAUAUUUCAACAAAACGAUUUUGUGUCACAGGUGGGGACAUGGAUUAGGUGUGAGCGGUGCAGGAGAUGGACUCAUGAGUUGGGCUCCAAUUUGACUGGGGAUAGCUUGUUUUGUGACCUAUGUACAAAUUAGAAUUGUGCAAUGGCAGAGUAUAAGAGAGUUGCCUCCAAUGUUACGCUGAACUAAUUAGUUAAGUUAUUAUUAUGAAUUAUUCAAUUCCAAUGUUAUUUAAUGUCAUUAGUUAUAUUCCAUUCCAAUAUUAUAUUCUAAUUCAUAUUUUUUGAAUGAAUUAAAAACAACUAGUGAAACCCUUUUGCUCCUGAAUGUCAUUUUAAAGACGGCUGGGAUUGAACAGGUUACCCAGGUACUUUUUUCAAAAAGCCCCUUUUCUAAAACAACAUUUCAUGAAAUUACAAAAAAAGUGUAAACUGUAGCCAUUUAUUUCCCUUUAUAGUUUAUUUGCCUAAGUAUGACCUUCAUCCACAUACCAAUUUCUUUCCCAAAUGUUGCUUUUUUUGUGUCAGCAAUUAGACAUUGCUGGUUACUCCCAAGUACCCUACCACUGAGCCAUUACAUGACGUCUUCUUGUUCCAGGUAGAGGUUUUUAUAGAAAGAUUCCGUAUCCAUGGAAACUUACCCUCACCCUUGCUGAAGCAACUCAAAAAACAUAUUUAACAAUAUUGGAAAUAGCUGGAGUGAUGUCUACAUCAUCAACUCUAUACGCAACCUAUUCAAACACUUUGUACUCAUGCCUGGUUUUACAACAAUAGUUCUCUGUAUUCUGCCUCUCAUGCAUAAUGAGACAUAACAGGCUCUGGCUUAUUGGUAAAGUCAUAACAGUUACAGAGUAAAGAGUCCAUCUCAUUGGACAGCCUUCCCUGUACGAAUAAUUGUUUUCUGUGUCCAUCAGACAGGCUUGUUUCCCUCAGAGCUGCUCAGCAUGCUGUAAUUAGAAAAUAAUGAGUCCCCUUACUGCUGUUCACACGGGCCUAUCAGCAAGCUGUGUGUUUUC